GUGGGGAAUUUUGGACAAUGGGGGCAACCCUGAUCCAGCCAUGCCGCGUGCGGGAAGAAGGCCUUCGGGUUGUAAACCGCUUUUGUCAGGGAAGAAAUCCUUUGGGUUAAUACCUCGGAGGGAUGACGGUACCUGAAGAAUAAGCACCGGCUAACUACGUGCCAGCAGCCGCGGUAAUACGUAGGGUGCGAGCGUUAAUCGGAAUUACUGGGCGUAAAGCGUGCGCAGGCGGUUUUGUAAGAUCGAUGUGAAAUCCCCGGGCUCAACCUGGGAACUGCAUUGGUGACUGCAAGGCUGGAGUGCGGCAGAGGGGGAUGGAAUUCCGCGUGUAGCAGUGAAAUGCGUAGAUAUGCGGAGGAACACCGAUGGCGAAGGCAAUCCCCUGGGCCUGCACUGACGCUCAUGCACGAAAGCGUGGGGAGCAAACAGGAUUAGAUACCCUGGUAGUCC
rnacentral:rRNA from 1 species